UCCCUCCAUCCAUAGAACCUCUUGCCGGCGGCCACUUCCACCCUUACAAUUCCCGGCGCUGCGCCACCUUGUGGCUCCCCAAUCGCCUCCUCCUUUCAUUUCGUUUUUCUGAUAAAAGAAUGGACAAGAGUAACCGCAGGACUGCCGCCACCUUUAAACUCCUCUCCAGCCGCAGUCGCUGGCCAUUUUCGGGAAGGAAGAAGAAACGCAUUGGUGUUGGUCGUUGUUGCUGCUCCUGGCGAUGGAUCUCCUCUCCUCUCUGUUCGGUUUUAUUGCUACGUCGUCUGCUGCCAACCGUCGGUGUGUCCGUCAGCCUCCUAGCCGUAAUAGGAGUCAGAAUAAUCCGCCACGGUGUCGGAUGUUGCUGCUGUGAACCGACACUACGCUGCAACCGGGAAGACACAGUCGGAGCUGCUCCGUGUCUCCUUCUUCUUUAGUUCUGCCACCUUGCGAACGUCAAGCCGUUGCCUUAAGCCGCCGCUAUUACCACUCGCGUUGUUGCUGUCGUCGCCAACCGCCACCAGGUGGGUGGGUGGGUGGGUGGGGUGUUUGUUACAAUUUGAAGCAUGUGUUUGUGUUGUGUGUGACUUCGUUUGACCGGAAAAGCCACUGCCACCACCAUGAGGUGGUGGCUGCCGCCAUGUACCACCAUGGGUGGGUAUAUUUUCGUGUAUCGGGAAUCUGUCAUCCAGCAGCUGGGGUCGAGUCUGCGGGACUUCAGCAAUGAGGGGUUGAGUCUACGGGACUUCAGCAGUGCGAGGUGCUUUGUUUGCAAAGGAAAGGAGCCGGCUUGAUCGCAGCGCAUCACGCUAUGUUUUCUGCAAACGAGAUCCUUGGGAUUUUACUUUGAUAUGGUUUCAUAAUAUUAUAUUUUGAUUAUUCAUACUUUGGUUUUAUGUAAUAACCUAAUUAAAAAUGAAAUUUUUGGCCUUGAAUUU